UACGUAGGGUGCGGGCGUUAAUCGGAAUUACUGGGCGUAAAGCGUGCGCAGGCGGCUUUUCAAGUCAGGUGUGAAAUCCCCGGGCUUAACCUGGGAAUGGCGCUUGAAACUGGAAGGCUUGAGUGUGGCAGAGGGGGGUGGAAUUCCACGUGUAGCAGUGAAAUUCGUAGAUAUUCGGAGGAACACCAGUGGCGAAGGCGGCUCACUGGUCCGGUACUGACGCUGAGGUGCGAAAGCGUGGGGAGCAAACAGG
rnacentral:rRNA from 1 species